GAUGAAGAACGUAGCGAAAUGCGAUAAGUAAUGCGAAUUGCAGAAUUUCCGUGAGUCAUCGAAUCUUUGAACGCACAUUGCGCCCACUGGUAUUCCGGUGGGCAUGCCUGUUCGAGCGUCAUUAUCCUCCCUCAAACCCCGGGUUUGGUGUUGGACCCAAGUUGUGUGAACAACUGGUCUCAAAGACAACGACGGCGUCCGUGGGACCCUCGGUGCAACGAGCUUUUAGGAGCACGCAUCGAGUUGCAAGGACCUUCCGGGCCGGUCUCCUUUUACUAUUUUACAAGGUUGACCUCGGAUCAGGUAGGAAUACCCGCUGAACUUAAGCAUAUCAAUAAGCGGAGGA
rnacentral:misc_RNA from 1 species